rnacentral:rRNA from 1 species
UCCACAAGGGGGCCCAGCCUGGAGGAACAACGCCGCGUGUGUGAUGAAGGCUUUCGGGUCAUACAGCCUUGUUGUAUGGGAAGAAAUGCUAAAAUGGGGAAUGAUUUUAGUUUGACGGUACCAUACCAGAAAGGGACGGCUAAAUACGUGCCAGCAGCCGCGGUAAUACGUAUGUCCCGAGCGUUAUCCGGAUUUAUUGGGCGUAAAGCGAGCGCAGACGGUUGAUUAAGUCUGAUGUGAAAGCCCGGAGCUCAACUCCGGAAUGGCAUUGGAAACUGGUUAACUUGAGUGUUGUAGAGGUAAGUGGAACUCCAUGUGUAGCGGUGGAAUGCGUAGAUAUAUGGAAGAACACCAGUGGCGAAGGCGGCUUACUGGACAACAACUGACGUUGAGGCUCGAAAGUGUGGGUAGCAAACAGGAUUAGAUACCCUGGUAGUCCACACCGUAAACGAUGAAUACUAGGUGUUAGGAGGUUUCCGCCUCUUAGUGCCGAAGCUAACGCAUUAAGUAUUCCGCCUGGGGAGUACGACCGCAAGGUUGAAACUCAAAGGAAUUGACGGGGACCCGCACAAGCGGUGGAGCAUGUGGUUUAAUUCGAAGCAACGCGAAGAACCUUACCAGGUCUUGACAUCCUUUGAAGCUUUUAGAGAUAGAAGUGUUCUCUUCGGAGACAAAGUGACAGGUGGUGCAUGGUCGUCGUCAGCUCGUGUCGUGAGAUGUUGGGUUAAGUCCCGCAACGAGCGCAACCCUUAUUGUUAGUUGCCAGCAUUCAGUUGGGCACUCUAGCGAGACUGCCGGUGACAAACCGGAGGAAGGCGGGGACGACGUCAGAUCAUCAUGCCCCUUAUGACCUGGGCUACACACGUGCUACAAUGGCGUAUACAACGAGUUGCCAACCUGCGAAGGUGAGCUAAUCUCUUAAAGUACGUCUCAGUUCGGACUGCAGUCUGCAACUCGACUGCACGAAGUCGGAAUCGCUAGUAAUCGCGGAUCAGCACGCCGCGGUGAAUACGUUCCCGGGUCUUGUACACACCGCCCGUCACACCAUGGGAGUUUGUAAUGCCCAAAGCCGGUGGCCUAACCUU